UUUUUUUUUUUUUGGCCAUCCCGGCAGCACGUGGAAGUUUCUGAGUCAGCGGUCAAACCUACACCAUAGCAGUAACCAGAGCCACAGAAAUGACAACACUGAAUCUUUAGCCUGCUGAGGCCACCAGGGGACUUCUGAAAUAAGUUCUGCAAACACUGUGUUACCCUGAGCCAUUUAUAAUGAAUGUUAAUAUAUUAAAGGUUCUGAGAAGUCUUGCAGUACAGAAAUUCAGUUAAUCCUGAAUAACCCAGCAUGCAGUCAAAUGAUCUGACCCCAGAAUUCUUUUUCAUGUAACACAGUAACAUCUCAUAGAACCUGAAUUUAUGAUCACACUAUGAGAAUCAAAAGAUAAAAUUUUGAGGUAAAUACAGCUCACUGAAAGUCGAUCUGUACAUUCUACCAUCUUUAUGGGCACUACUGUCACUAGAAAAUAUAUAUAAAAACAUAAUACAAAACUGAAGCCUUAUUUAGCAAUGACUACAGUAUUACUUCUUAAACAGAUUAUAACAACACCAAGUAACUCUCCUAAGAAACUAAACAUUAAUCUAAAAAUCAAUUUUAAAAAGCAAAUAGAUUUUGGCAUGAAGUGCUUUAAACCAGCUUAGAGAAACAAAACUAAUCACACACAAAGACACACACAUCUUUAAUCCUAGAGAAUCAUCUACUUUGUAAUUUCUUACAUCAAUAAUCAAGAUAAUGAGUUCAAAUGACCUUAAUGCUAGAAGAAAAGGUUACUCAAGUACUUUCCAGAAGGUUCAUUAAAUAAUUCUAGGAAGCUGGUAUAAGAAUAAUUCUGAAGGUCUUAAUUGUAGGCUAAAACUCUGUAAAAGUACGAUACACAAUGAUGAGCUCUAUAACUUAAUAUGGAUGUGGAAAACUGGAAAAAUACAAGUAUAAGAUGACCUGAGGAAAAUGGAGUAAAAUCAGGGUUUUAUUUUAGAAAUAAAGUUUAUUCAAACUCAUAAAAAUUGACAAAGAAUUAAUAUAUUUAACUCUCAGGCAUCAGUGUAAUAAAAAAGAAAAAAAGAUCAUGAAAUACUGAAGUGAAACAAACAAAAAAAACUAUCUGCCAAGAGAUACAUAAGUUCCAGAUCUAGGGGAGAAAAAUUAACAUUUGUCAUUUGGAUAGCUUUGGUUUAAAAAAAAAAAUCAAUGAUAAUGCUUUUUAAAAAUUACUCUUGAAGUCAAUAGUUUUGCAAACAUUUAUGCGAUUACUCAAUAAACUUCUGUUCCAAGUAAGUGCAAAGGUGUGGAUCCAACAAACACAACCAAGCUCAAGGGAAUAAAGAUAAUUAUACUUUUCCUAGUCCUCACUUAAUGCCUAGCUUACAAAUAUCCUUUUCAGAUGCGUAAGUACAAUUAGGUAUUGCAGCAAAGUGAUUAUAAAGAAAGUUAUGGUUUCCGACAAUGCCCUUACUUUCUACUUAGUUUUCCAAAAGAAAGUAGCUGGGCAGAAAUAAAAGAAACAAGGCAGAUAACACCUUCCCCUGAGAAUCUGACAGUUACAGACACUGCUGGCGGCCUAUCCACCAAGGACUCCUUGCUCCUUCCUAACACACCUCAGAUGUUGUUCUAGCGUCUCCUCUCCUGCACAGCACAGUGAGCGUCAUGAAGAUAAUCAACACAAUCCCAUUCUCCUUGCCAGUCUGCUUAGGAAGGGACCUUGGAAGCAAUUCUGGCUAAUGAGAUACUCAGGGAAAGUUUGCUGGAAGCUUCUAGGUACGCUCACAAAAAGACAUCUAAGAAGGGAUAUUCUUGAAUAAGGUGGUUUGUAGUGACACCUGGACCUAAAGAGUCAUCUGAGUACUGGGAAGGCAGUUAACCUAAGAACAAAGCCAACACUGUCUGGGAAGAGCAGAUGGAAAGCCCAAGAAUCUGGUUCCUUGAUUAUACGUCUCUGAAUCCAGGAAUCAGCCUCCAGGCUUUUUAUGUGAUAAAACAUGUUUCCUAAUUGUUAGAGGCAGCUGUCAUUUUUUAAUUUUAUUUAUUUAUUUUUGUCUUUUUGCCAUUUCUAGGGCCGCUCCCUCGGCAUAUGGAGCAGCCCUAAAAAGCCAAAAAGAAAGGAAAAAGAAAGAAAGAAAAAAGAAAGAGCUUACAUACAAUAAACUCUGCAAUAACAUGCUCUCCAAUAAAAUGUAAUUGGUGGUCUUCCCGAACACCUGCCUGGCUAGCUACACACUGGUCAUAGAUUAACACAGACCCAGAGUACAUACAAUUAGAUUCUUAGGGCCCCAUUUAAUACUGCAGAGGUAAUCAAUGGAAAAAAAUUUAUAAGACUAAAUGAUUGAGAAUGGGUGGGAGCAAGAAGUGUGGAAAUCAUGAAAGUUCACUAUCAAUUGACUUUCUGCUAUGAAGGAUUUAAUAUCCAAAGCUUUUAAUCAAGAACUAGCAGUAUAACAGCAUGUUAGAGACAAGCAGGCAAAUACGAGAGAAAUAAACAUUGGAAUUUUUAAAAGCAGUUGCCUGUGGGGAUGGGGCUAGAUGAUGGAAGAGAUGAGACAGGAAACUAGCGCUUCUCUUUAUAAACUUUUACGUACUAUUUAAUUUUUUAAACUCAUACCAGUGCUACAAGAUUUUCUUAAGUGGCGCUGUAGAGGAAGCUACUCUUCCAUCACAGUGAAUGCAGAGAAAAUAACGCUCUAGGGGCCAUUUUGGAGGACUGCCAAAGAACCAUAGAAUAAGUGGUAAUUUUUAAUAGCUUGGAACUCAACUAACUUAGUACCUGGUAUGAGCAUUCAUAUUAUUCAUAAAGAGGAAUAAAGGGAAAGGAAGAGAGAAGCUGAAAUCUAUACCUGCCCAAAACUAUGGAUCUGGUGUGGUGGACACACCUAGUGGUGAAAACACUCUCCUCAUAAAGUCACAGGAAGUUAAGAGACAUGCUACCUUCAGAAUUCUCCCUCAGUUUUUGGAGUUUGAGGUGGUGAGAGAAGCCGAACAAUACUUGUUAAGGCCAAAGGGACAUGGGCAAGGAUAAGCCAAGGAGCGGAUGGACACUAAUGACCAUUUCACUUCAGAUGUAAUGCCUGAGGAAUUUAGUCUCAGUGCCAUUGUGAGCUCUAGCACAGCAUGUUUUCAGACAAGCUGGAGCUCCAGCACUGGAACUUCCUCAAAAGAAGUGUUAUAUUAUUACUAGUUAAUAAUACGAAUUGUAAUUCCACUGGAUGAUCAGGUGAUUGGUUUAAAUCCUCCCCACCCCCAGCACUCAACUCUACUCCCCCAACACAGGCCAGUAAGGAAAAUCUUACUCACUAAAACAGCUGUUUUGACGCUGCUUAAAGAUUUUGACUGCAUAUUACCAACUAUGUAUUCCUAUUACCAUGGUACAGGUGAUUACUUCACCAUUUUGAAUGUUUUUUUUCAAAAAACAACACAAGCUUACUUUGAAGAAAGCAAAGUAUUCCACCAAUAGCUACCCCACACAGUUGCACUGCAAGCGCGCCAUCUAGUGAUGAACCAAAACAUAGCAGGUAUAUGUUUUUUGUUUUAAUUCCAAGCUACUCUUCAGCAAACAGACAAUUGAAAAGGGCAUUGCUAUGACAGAGGUAUACAGACUUAAAAUGUGACACGAACAACUACAAAAUGGCUUUUAUGGGGAAAAAAAUGUGUAAGAGUAUGAUCUGAAUGCUUUGUUUUUUUUUCAUUGGUUAAUUGCACAUUCAAAUGAAGGAUUACUUAAAGAAAAUCGCUGUAUCACAAUUACUGACCAGAAAGACUUUUAUGACAUCAAGUGUUUGAUUUAAUUAGCAUCUCUGAAGAAAAUAUAUUCAAAAAAUUCAAUUUGGAAUUCAAGACUGUACUUAAACAGUAGCAACACUGUUUAUACUCCUCAUAUAUCAGCCCUCAUUUUAAGAGGGUUUUUCUUUUUCUUUUUCCUUUUUUUUCCCCUUUUUUAUGGCACCACCUGGGCUAAGGGUCAAAUCAGAGCUGCAGCUGCCAACCUAUGUCACAACCACAGCAACACCAGAUCUCAGCCGCAUCUGCAACCUUCUUGGCAGCUUGUGGCAAUGCCAGAUCCUUAACCAACUGAGUGAGGCCAGGGAUCGAACCCGGAUCCUCAUGGAUGCUAGUCUGGUUCUUAACCUGCUGAGCCACAAAAAAAGGAAUUCUUAAGAGGUUUUCAUUAACCUCAGUCCUUUUAUUAGGCCACAGCACUAGUUAUUAAGAGAUUAUAGUACUUACUGAGCUUGGGCACCUUACUCAGCACCUGCAUUUAAAAGAUCCAAGAAAUAUGCUGAAAUUCAUAGUGAAGAACAAGUUAACUCAAUGUAUAUAUUUAAGCAACACCUUCAAUACACAAAGAAUCUGUCCAACUGACUUCAUUUCUGCCCCACUCCCCUAUUUAAAACCCUAUUCCUUUGGGGUUAAAUACCUGAUGUUUUAAAAUAUAUCAAGAAGCAUCCCUGGUAACUCAGUUACAUUUGAAAUUAGUAUUGUAGUUGCAAUUGCACUAGAUUUUAAACAUUUUUCUUUUCCCAGAUGAUUUCCACUAAAUAAAACUAAAUUCUGAGAACUCACUGCAUACCCUAGGGAAAUCUAAGGAAAAUAGCCUCUUGUUAAUAUAUGUAGCACAUUCCUAAAUACUCAAAAUAAGUAAUUUUCUAAUAGACAUCCAAUACCUAAAAACUUUUAAAGUGAAUUGAGACUAUUAAAGUUCUAAUACCAACAAUAAUACUUCAAGGAACAAUAAUACUCCAAGGUACUUUCUUCCUUUUACCCUUGACUACAAAUUAACCAAGUGAAUAAGCAAUCCAUAUACUACCUGGGCAAGCAAAUACUCUUAAAAAGUAAGCCUAGAUUGAAGAAAAAUAUCUGAAAAUAUUUUGGCAAAAUAUAGUAAUAGUAGUUUCAUGGAUAUUACAUUAUUCCCUGUAUUAUUUAGAAUAUUUUAAUUGCUCAAAACAAGAAAAGCUCACAUCAUGUCUCUAGAAUUCUUACUGAUACUGAGAAAUUUGAAUAAAUCAGCCACGUUUUAUUUUAUACAUACAUAGAUCAUUUCUUUUUACUACUGAGCAUUUGAAAUGUGACUAGUGCAACUGAGAAAGUUAAUUAGUUUAUUUGCUAAUCAACUCAGUUACUGUAAUACUUUUAGGCACAUAUGGAACAACCUGAAUAUAUGAAUCUGCAGUUUCAAGUAUAAAUUUUAUAAAAUUUAAAACCAGAUCAAGUAUAUUUGAUAAAAAUUUUAACAUCCAAACUGAGACGUGCUAAGGGCAAAAUACACAAAGGAUGGUAUGAAAAAAAAGAAUGUAAAAUCUCAUUCUCUUUACACAUGUUAAAAAUAUUUUGGAUGUACAGUUGACCCUUGAACAAGGGUUUGAACUGUGUGGGCCUAUUAAUACACGGAUUUUUUUCUUCCAGUAAAUAUAUUAGAACAUUUUUUGUAGAUUACACAACAAUUAAAAAACUUGCAAACCCCACGCAGCCUAAAAAUACUGAAAAAAAUUAAGGAAAAAGUAUGUCACGAAUGCUUACAAUAUAUGGUCUACCCUUACAAAGGCAUAAGAUGAGUGAUGUUCAAUACAAAAUUAUUAUAUAUUGCAAUUAUUAUUACAAUAUAUGGUCUACCCUUACAGAGGCAUAAGAUGAGUGAUGUUCUUUGGAACUCUGC
rnacentral:lncRNA from 1 species